ensembl:ncRNA C46H11.12 ncRNA
AAGGCAAACAAAGCAAGCAUAUUAGACAGAAGCAGGUAAAAAAAGCUACAGCUGAUCAGCGAAGCAAGAGGCAACUGCCACCUACUGGAAUAGCUAGAAGUACUAUUUGUGGAGCAUCUUCCACAAGUUACCGGACACUGGACU